ACAGUCACUGGCAGUAUGUCUGCUGGCGCUCGGUAGACAUACAGUCUUGCGGUACCAUUUUACCAUCUUAUGUACUGAAAAUAAGGUAGUGAUGAUGUGCAAGAUCUAACUACAUCUUUUAAUUCACAGAUUGACAAACCAUUGCUCGAGAGCUCACAGACGCUUGUUCCUGCUCCAUCGCUCACUUUCAGUGCUUUUCAGCUCCAUCUAUACCACAACGGUCCUUUUCAGGACCACACAUCUUUGCAUUUUACAUCCUGGUUUCCUGUGUUUACCGACAACAGAGACCAGUUACUCAUAUUUAUUUUAAAUCACAUUUAAAUACAUUAUUAUUUUGAGCAGUAUAGUUUAGUAAAGUAGUUAGUGUGUAUAAGUGUUAGUUUACAUUGUAUUAAGGCACUUUCUAGUGCAUUAGGUUAGGUUAGGUUAUCUUAGGUUAGGUUAGGUUAGGUUAGAUUAGAUUAAAACACCUUUUUAAUUGCCACACAUAGUACAGUCUCAAAUACUUACACAGUUUUAGUUGUCCUGUUUAACUACUGUCUCCAGCUUUCCCCAGUGUUUUUCAGGUGAGUAAACCAUUUGAAGUAAUAAAGUUGCAUGAAAAAAAUCCACUAUCCUAUCUAAAAGGAUGCUUUCAGCCUUUGUAAACCAAGAACAUCACUCGAUGGUGGUUAGAUUAGCUUUUUUUUUUUUUUUUUUUUUUUUAUUGUAGUCUGCACCACUGGAGAUGUCAGAUUACAAUUAAUAUUAUUAUAUUGCAGGUAACUGGCCCUACCAGCUUAUAGGAGACCUUUUCAG